rnacentral:rRNA from 1 species
GAUUAACGCUGGCGGCAUGCCUAAUACAUGCAAGUCGAACGAGAGUAGCAAUACUCUAGUGGCGAACGGGUGAGUAACACGUGGGUAACUUGUCCUAAAGUCGAGGAUAACAGUUGGAAACGACUGCUAAUACUGGAUAGGUUAGAUUAACGCAUGUUGAUCUAAUUAAAGAUGCGUAUGCAUCACUUUAGGAGAGGCCUGCGUCGCAUUAGCUAGUUGGUGAGGUAACGGCUUACCAAGGCGACGAUGCAUAGCUGUGCUGAGAGGCAAAACAGCCACACUGGGACUGAGACACGGCCCAGACUCCUACGGGAGGCAGCAGUAGGGAAUUUUCGGCAAUGGACGAAAGUCUGACCGAGCAAUGCCGCGUGAAUGAUGAAGGUCUUCGGAUUGUAAAGUUCUGUUGUAAGGGACGAAUAGUAUAAUCAGGAAAUGGGUUAUAAAUGACGGUACCUUACUAGAAAGCCCCGGCUAACUCCGUGCCAGCAGCCG